CUGAGUCCAUGAUGAUAGAAAGUUAUCCCUGUCUGAAGGCAAAGAAAGGCCUUUGUGGAAUGUGGAAAUCUGAAACUUGG